GCCAUUGAUGGUAGGAAGAGGUCUUCAGCAUAAUCACAGCUGCUCCCGUCAGUGUGCCCUGUUGCCCUGCAGACUGACUGACAGCAAAUGAAGGUUUUACUUCUGUGCCAGUUUGGCAGGAAUUUUUCCUCACUGCAUUCCGCAAGCCCAGAGAAACUUGCUGGAACUCAUACAAAACCCUCUCCUGCUGCCAUAUUAGGAAUCAAAAUGUGUAGCAGAACCCUACUGCCAAGUCGAGAUAAUCAACAGGGAAUGUCUGUGCCUUCAAGCCAAAUGAGUGCAGAGAAAUGAUCAAGGCAGCAAUGAAUAAUAAAACUGAGCACUGGCUUUAGAUUAUGGUCUUGUUAUAUCCCACUCACUAAUAAAGCUGUGCUGGAAAUUUCUGUACCUCUUGGCUAGUCAAGUACCAGAGUCUAGUUCUAAUUUUAUGGUG
rnacentral:lncRNA from 1 species